rnacentral:lncRNA from 10 species
CGGAGUCUCGCUCCGUCCCCCAGGCGGGAGUGCAGUGGCGCGAUCUCGGCUCACUGCAAGCUCCGCCUCCCGGGUUCACGCCAUCUUGCCACUAAACCUGAUUUACCAACAUAACCUGUUUCUGGCCAUGCUGUGAAUCUGCAUUCUUUACUGUGUCCUUGGGAUACUAGGUCUCUGAUCAAGUGCCACAUCUUUAGAGAAGCUUUUCCAAACAACCGAUUAUGAAGUACACAUUAACAAUGAAGCCUCUUUUCAAGUAAAGAAGUGAGUAGUUUUAUUUGAUAUGAUUAAAAUAACUAUAACAUAUAUGCGAAAUAUGAAGCCAAAUAAUAAAAUUAAGAAGCAUGGAUCCAUCAUUCUACUCAAAAAGCCUUCAAGCUCCAGAUAAUCCUCAGUGAGGUAUACUGUCCGCUCAAUAUCCAAGAGUCACCCUUCUACAAGGGACCUCUAGACUGCCCAUAAGUGAGACAUGACAGAGGUAAAGUCAUGCUCCUGUCUCCCUUGGACCUGGCUGGAAACUGCAUUCAUCAACCCAUGGAACCACCCCCCUGCCAUGAAAGCUAGCAAGAGGCCAAGACCCACAGAACAACCACCAUCAUCCCUCUGUCAGCAGGAAGCGGUUACAAAAGACUAACCUUUGCCCAUUUUCCCCAAAGAAUUGGGGUCUUGGAAUCUUGAGGGAGGAAAUGUUACAGUAGGUAGCUAGUCAGACAUGAGCAGAGCAGAAGAGGGCUUACACACACACACACACACACACACACACACACCCCACACACAAAGAAUCCUGGGCAACCAUCAGGCGAUUGUAAGGUGGUUGUUAACUGUGUCUCUAAAAUAACGAUUGGUCACAACCAGUGCAAUGGAAAGGCAGUCUCUCAAUAAACAGAAACACCUGGAGCUGAUGAUCAGCAGCUUCCUGAUCAGGUCUCAGAAGUUUGGCAAGCUGGCCUACACAUGCGCACUAAGAGGCAAAAUGGCACAGUUUAACUGGUAUAUGACUUCCAAUGGACAUUCAGCAUGUAAGGGAAAAAUGCCUCAAGUAAGCAUGCAUACAACUCCACUAAACACACUGUGCAUGCUCCCCUCUCAAGUGCUGGCAGGCCAGUGCACAUGGGGACAGCCCACCCCAAAGAAAGUCUCAAGGGUGUAGGGAUGCAAGACCCCGGGAAUAUGCCAAUGUAUUAAACCCUAAGUCAAAAGGUCAAAUCAUGCACUUGUCUUUCAAGUCACCCACUUGACCCUCUUCCAAGUGUACUUUCCUUCCUUUUGUUACUACUCUAAAGCUUUUUAAUAAAUUUUCACUUUUUGAAUUCUUGUCUGCAACUUAGACUAACCUUGCUUGUUUCUCUGAACCAACCAGUGAUCUCUGGCUCGACUCAGAAGCAACAAAUAGAUGGUAAAUUGUGAAGAGAGUAACUAUACACCACAUGGCUUGACAAUAUCCAAACAUCAUUCUUGUUCUACAAAAGUUACAAAUGGU